ACGGAGGGUGCAAGCGUUGUUCGGAAUUAUUGGGCGUAAAGGGCGCGUAGGCGGUAAUGUAAGUCAGAUGUGAAAUACUUCGGCUCAACUGAAGAACUGCAUCUGAAACUGCAUAACUAGAGUACAGAAGAGGGAAACGGAAUUCCCGGUGUAGAGGUGAAAUUCGUCGAUAACAGGAGGAACACCAUUGGCGAAAUCAGUUCCAUGGUCUGAUACACACGCCGAAGCGCAAAAGUGUUGGGAAGAAACAG
rnacentral:rRNA from 1 species